rnacentral:lncRNA from 1 species
AUGACAACCCCAUAGAAAGAACAAGAGUAUAAACUAACCUGGAUCUCUGGGAUCUCCCCGAGUCUAUAUAAUCAACCAAACACCAGGCAUUGGCUGAUCCAUGGUCCCUGGCACAUAUGUAGCAAAGGACUGCCUUGUCUGUGCAAGAGGAUGUACCAAAUCCUAUAGAGACAGGUUGCCUCAGGUAAGGGGGAUGCUGGUGGAAGAUAGUGAGAUGGGGUUUGUGGGAGAAUCAACUCAGAGACAAGCGGGGAGUACUUUGGGUGGGCAUACUAGGAGGGAGCAGCAUAUCUGAUGUAAACAAAUGAAACAAUUUAAUAAAAAUUUAAGCAUGCCCCUAAUUUUUUGUUGUUGUUGUUUUUAUAAAUUUCCAUGGUCAUGCUGUCUUUUCACAGCAAUAAAAUGGUAACUAAGAUCAUAACCGCCCACCCCUGCCAGGAAAAAUACAACAAAAACAAAAACAACCAAAUGGUCUAUUUUCUUUCCCUUCCAAGCUGAUAUUUCCUUAUUGAUCUCAGUCUUUUCAAAUGAUUUUGAACCCUUAAGGCACUGAGAAAACUUGCCACCAUUUGGGUAUCUGGAUUCCAGCAAUAUUUAGACAAAAAAAAAAUGUUUCUAUUCAGAGAUGAAAGGAAAAAAUAGCCCUCUUCUCUGAAAUACAAAGAGACCUCAGUAUUGCUUUUGUAACCACUCUGAUUUAUUACAUUUUCUACUCCAUGCUUAUUUAAAAGAAGCUUGAGUGAAGUGCUACAAAAUGACAGACUCACAUUAAAUAACUACCAUGAACAAUAUGACCAGAAUUCAUUCACAGAAGAAUACUAUUAUAAUAAAUAGGAUUUUUUUCUUAAAUUUUCACUUGGAGUAGAGAGUUUGCCUUGUGUACCCAAGUACAGUCAAUACUGGUUUGUAUUGUAUUCUAUAUUUUAUUGUUCAUUUCAGGGUGCAUUGUUAACAAGAAAAUCACUAUAUGUUGUUAUGCAGUUAGAAAUUUCCAUGUUAAGGAGUAAUGCUAUAUAAAGGUGUUUUUCCAGGAUGCUAAAUAUUUCAGUGUGGGUGAUAAUGUUCGUGUAGAUGGUAUAUGCACAAUAUAAGACAAUCUGUAUUCUAGGAAAUUAUUCUAUUCCUAAACAUACCUGACUCACUCUGACUUAAUCAUUUUGUGUAGUUUUAUAACUUUUAAGUCUAAUGUGCUUACUUAAUAAGUGAAGAAAUAAACCAACAUUUAUCUGAAGUAAGCCUUCCAACUCUUUCAAGUCUCAUGCUGUGAGAGCCAACCCCAAUACAGACAGAAAUGGCAAAGGUGUGUCACCAAGAGUCUGUUUACAAAAAAUACCUUUGACUGUACCUUUUCCCUCAGUGAAAUGCUCUAUUAUGUUUUCCAUCAAAAGACACACAUAUAUGAGAAGAAAGACUCUUAUCAAGGAGUCUGUUCUGUAAAAUACACUCUCCAUUCUUGGGUGAAACCCAUUUUGCUCUUCUAACUAAUUCCUAAAUCCUUUAAUAUCAGUGAAAUCAAGCAAUUCUACUUGAAUAUCUUAAAGUUCCUAAGGUGAAAAUAUAAUCAUACUGAGCUAAAAUCAAGGAUUAAGAAGGACUAUGUCCCUCCAGAGAGUUGAAGGGAGUAAUAAAUAUACUAAUUUUUGCAUCCUUAAGGAGCCCUGUAUAUUCUGUACUCAAAGCCCCAAUCUUUCCCUCAGCAUUUCCUUUAUUAUCAUGCCUUUUUUGAAUAUGGCUGUAAUCCCUAGUAAAUGGUGAACCAUUAUGAUUGCAUUAAUUCCACUAUAUCAUUUCAAUAUGAACUCUACAUAUCAAAAUCCCUAACUACCCCUUUGACAAAUCUCAUAUGCCAAAAAAUAUGCAUGGAAUUUAAUACAUGGGAUUCCUUGGUCAUGGGCCACUAUAUAUGUGUCAAGAAAAUAUUGCAUAUGGUAUCAAUAUCAUUGAUAAACUUUCUUCUUGUAAAAGGAAAUAAAACUCUCAUAUGAUAGAUUUAUGAUAGAAGAAAUGAUGAGAGAAAUAAAACUUUUAGAGACAUCAGCUAGGUGAGACUAAGGGCUAGGGGAGGGACUUGUAUUUGUAAUUGAGACUUCAUGCUUCACAUGAGAGUGAAGACUCUUAAUCCUGUGAUUUUCUGUAAUGGGGUUAGAGAAGUGUGGGAGAGUUGCUGCUUCAUUACAUUAAUUAGAUUUUCCAGGGUAAUUAGGCAUUUCUUAAAUACUGCCUCCGCCUUAAAAAACAAAU